rnacentral:lncRNA from 1 species
GAACAAAAACAAACCUACCCACUAAUAUUCAACUCGUAUAGUAGGGUGAAAUGAAUACAAAUCUUAGCUCUAUCCUAUAGGAUACAAAGGUUACUCUAAUAACACCCUCUAUCAACAUAUCUUCUUUUAUUUUUAUAUUUUUAUAAAAAGUAAAUUUUGGUGAAAUUUUAAGAAGAAAACAAUAAAGAAAACAUAGUUCUAGAAUUCACAAUUAUGAUAUUUUUAUCAAAAGUAAAUUAAAUUUUGGUGAUUUUUUAAGAAGAAAACAAUAAAGAAAACAUAGUUCUAGAAUAUUCACAAUUAUGAAGUGUGAAUACCGGUUUAGGCCAAAAACUUUAUGCAACACAUAUUAUUUAAAAUAAUAAAUAUAAUCAACAUUUAAUAUAUACCGGUUUAGGCCAAAAACUUUAUACAACAUAUAUAUUUAAAAAUAAUAAAUACAAUCAACAUUUAAUACAUAGACUAUUCCUAAUUAGUACAACAUAUAUACUUAAAAAUAAUAAAUACAACCAACAUUUAAUACAUAGAAUACUCAAUUUGUAGUUUAUUAAGAUUUGUACUAAUUUGAGUUUGAUCGAUGACAACGAGGCUUACCAUGGAUGUUUUGCCAAGGGAAAGUAUUGUGUUUCUUGGAUGGGUGGGAAAGCUGAGUUUUCAAGGCAAUAUAGAGGGGUAUAUAUGGAUGUGA